UACGUAGGGUGCAUGCGUUGUCCGGAAUUAUUGGGCGUAAAGAGCUCGUAGGCGGUCUGUCGCGUCUGCUGUGAAAACUCGGGGCUUAACCCCGGGCCUGCAGUGGGUACGGGCAGACUAGAGUGCGGUAGGGGAGACUGGAAUUCCUGGUGUAGCGGUGAAAUGCGCAGAUAUCAGGAGGAACACCGGUGGCGAAGGCGGGUCUCUGGGCCGUAACUGACGCUGAGGAGCGAAAGCAUGGGGAGCGAACAGG
rnacentral:rRNA from 1 species